GAUGAAGAACGUAGCGAAAUGCGAUACGUAAUGUGAAUUGCAGAAUUCAGUGAAUCAUCGAGUCUUUGAACGCACAUUGCGCCCCCUGGUAUUCCGGGGGGCAUGCCUGUCCGAGCGUCAUUGCUGCCCUCAAGCACGGCUUGUGUGUUGGGCCUCCUUCCUCCUCCCGGGGGACGGGCCCGAAAGGCAGCGGCGGCACCGCGUCCGGUCCUCGAGCGUAUGGGGCUUCGUCACCCGCUCUUGUAGGCCCGGCCGGCGCUUGCCGACACAUCAAUCUUUUUUCCAGGUUGACCUCGGAUCAGGUAGGGAUACCCGCUGAACUUAAGCAUAUCAAUAAGCGGAGGA
rnacentral:misc_RNA from 1 species